rnacentral:lncRNA from 1 species
AAUGUUGUAUCUACCUCUGGCUGAGCCGAAUUCCCAUCCUCCAACAUUGAUUCUGUUUGUGGCUGAGCUGAACCCUCGUCAUCUAAGGUUGAAUUCACUGGAAGCUUUGCCAAGUAUUCAUCCUCCAAUGUUGAGUCCAUUUGUAGCUUAGCCGAAUUCUCAUCACCCAAUGUUGUAUCUACCUCUGGCUGAGCCGAAUUCCCAUCCUCCAACAUUGAUUCUGUUUGUGGCUGAGCUGAACCCUCGUCAUCUAAGGUUGAAUUCACUGGAAGCUUUGCCAAGUAUUCAUCCUCCAAUGUUGAGUCCAUUUGUAGCUUAGCCGAAUUCUCAUCACCCAAUGUUGUAUCUACCUCUGGCUGAGCCGAAUUCCCAUCCUCCAACAUUGAUUCUGUUUGUGGCUGAGCUGAACCCUCGUCAUCUAAGGUUGAAUUCACUGGAAGCUUUGCCAAGUAUUCAUCCUCCAAUGUUGAGUCCAUUUGUAGCUUAGCCGAAUUCUCAUCACCCAAUGUUGUAUCUACCUCUGGC